CUCUUUCCCGUCAGCCCUUGCGCGAUAUAAAUACCCACGUCCCGCUCGUCCAGCGUUCAUUUCUAGGCUCGCAGGAAGAAGAGAAAGCCUUGAGAACCUCAUUGGAUGCUGCUGAAGAGUGCAUUUGAUCCACAGGUGAACAUGUCUGGUUUGGAAAUGCAAGUUAUUGAAGCUAAUAAGACGUCAAAGAAACGAAAAUGUGUGGUUAAUGAUUUGAUACUAAAGGAUUUUCCAUUUAUCAGAAGAGGAGUGAAGGAACAUUCUGCAUUUUGUUCACUAUGUGAAGUAACUUUUACCGUUGGAAGUGGCGGGCGAACCUCAGUUGUUGAACACGUUGCAACUAAAAGACAUAAAAGCUCCUUGAUUCGGGAAAGUAGCAACGCAAAGAACGUAUCGGCAUACUUUAAGACGAUUGUGCCAGAUCAAAGUGAAAUAAAUGUUGCCCUUCAGGAAGGAACUUUUGCAUUUCAUACCGUGAGGCAUUACCACAGUUUCCAGUCUAUGGACUGUACUUCCAGCUUGAUUAAGAAAUUAACGUGUUCCAGAACAAAAGUCGAAGCCAUUGUCAAACACGUGAUUGCUCCCUGGGCGAUUGCUGAAGCUGUAGAAGAAAGCAAUAGAGCUUCUUUUGUAACUAUACUUCUAGAUGCUUCAAAUCAUUGUAAUACAAAAUUACUACCAAUUAUUGUUCGCUACGUACAUGUGAAUGCCGAGAAAGCUGUGUCCAUCCAUAAUAAAAUUGUGGACUUUGUUCAAAUUACAGGGGAAACAGCUGAAAUAAUAUACACAGCUUCAUUUCAAACAAUCAAGCGUCUUGGUUUGGAGCAUAAAGUGGUAGCCGUUUCAGCAGACAAUACGAACACGAACUUUGGUGGUCUGAAGAGGAAAGGUUCAAACAAUGUCCUCACCAAAAUGAAGGAAGGUUUGGGAAAGAAUAUUCUCUGCUUGGGGUAUAACGCUCAAAUGAUACAUAACAGUGCACAUUCUGCAAUAAAUUCAAUCCCAGUUGAUGUUGAAGGACUUGUGGUAAAGAUUUUUGGUUAUUUCCACAUAUUUACAGUGAGAGUAGAACAUCUAAAAGAGUUUUGCGAGUUUGUAGGACAGGAGCACAAUAAUAUUCUUAGCUAUAGCAAUGUCAGAUGGCUUUUGCUCCUGCCAGCCAUCAGAAGGAUCUGUGAAAAUUAUGCUGCCUUGAAAUCCUUCUUUCUGUCUGAGGAGAAAUGCCCGGCCCUGCUGAAAAAGUGGUUCAGUGAUCCUUGCACCUAUUUGUGGAUGAAUUUUGUUGCCUCAACGCUGCCACUUUUCCAUGAUUCCAUACUCCAAGCCGAAGGAGAGGAAGUAACAGCAGUGGAAUCUUGCAUGAUUCUCAACAUUUUGAUUCAGAAACUUCAGGCUAGGAGUGAUGAUAAGUUUAUUCCCAUCUCAGUGAGGAAACUUUUGCCAUCUCUCGAAGAAGGUGGUUCCUGCACGCAGGAAGAAUUUCUCACUAUAUCAAGAGACUUCUACACCACUGCUGUUGAAUACCUAACCGCUUGGAGCUCCCACUCUGAAGAUAUUAGGUGUAUGGAGUGCAUUUUGCUUCGGACUUCUCCACAGAGAGAAAACUUUGAAGAGUGUCUCCAAUAUUUUUCAUCAAGAAUAGGAGGAGUUGGUCUAAGUGAAGAUCAUUUAUUUGACGAAAUUUCUUCUUUGAAAGAAUAUGUAUCAAAAGAAAAGAUAGCUAAAUGGAAUGAAGAUGGCGCUGAUGUGUGUUCAAGAUGGAGUGACGUUUUCUCAUUCUUCUCUCAGAAGAUGAUCCCCUAUCCACAGCUACAAAAGUUGGUUCAACUCUGUCUCUGUCUACCAGGAAGCAAUGCUGCAGUGGAGAGAGUGUUUUCUUCCAUGAACGUGAUGUGGACAUCUCAGAGAUCAAGGCUUGAUAUUGACACUAUCAAAGCUAUGCUAGCGGUCCAAAGUAAUUUUUCCAUGGAUUGCCAGGAAUUUGCAACAAAACUGGAGUCAAGAAGAGGUCUUCUCAGCAAGGUGCACUCCUCGGAACAAUACAACUAGUUAGGAACAAAGUACACUUGAAAGUUCAUUGCAUGCUGUUGGAAUGGCCACAUAAUCCUGAAGUGGGUAUGUACAGCAGUUUUGACUCUCAAGGCCAUUGUAAAUGGAAGAAGAAUAACCGGGGGGGGGAAGAACUGAAAAAGAUGCUGAGAAUGUGGUCUUGUGAAAGCAUCAGCUAUUUUAAGUGUAGUUCAGAAGAGAACAGAGUCCUACAGAUCAACAGAACAGUCCUGGAGAAAUGGCUACCUUUGGUCUCCAGUAUGCCUUCAAGACUACAAUUCCCAUCAUCCCUGGUUGCCGACCGUUCUGGCAGGAUUUGGAAGGCCCCAACAUCGACAGGGCACUAUAAUGGCCUUCUCUGGCAGCAACAUGGUGGAAGAAAAGCUGCAUUGCUGCGGAUACUAAUAUGAGCAGGAAUGAUCUCCAAAGAUAAUGGUCCAAAACCAAAUUAACCGGUUGGGAUGAAGCUGUUUUUUGCAUUUGCAGAAUUUGACAGCUGGCCAUUGGUGGAACAUUGGGCGAGUUUUAAUUCAGUUCUGUUUUAGAUGCCAAACACGUGUGUUUGUUUCAUCACACUUAACUCUGCUAGCAUUGCAGUUACCAUGUUUACCCUUCUGAAAAGUGUUGUUUAUAGAUGUAUAUAUAUUGGAAAAGUAAUUGUUUACAUUACUUUGUGUUUUGAUGUUUCAUUUGCCUUCAGCAGUAUAUGUUAUACCCGAGCAGAGCAGCUUGUAAAAUUCUGAAGACUUGGAAAAAUUGCCAAGGACCACAUGAAAAAACUGCAAAUUGAACAGGAAUGGAGGGGGGCUGGACUGGCAAACCAAGAUGUUGUUGGUACUUCCCAAACACUUUGAAGUGUUUCUAUUUAAAUGAAUUAGUAAACUAAAACAGAAAUAAGUUUCUUAGCAGAUGGAGCUCUAUGACGUUUACAGGAAGGGGGGACGCUUUUGUUACUGAAAUGAUGGGGGGGGCACAUACUUAAAGUUGUUACAAUGCUACAAAUAUUAUUCCUGAAUGUAUCCUUUCAACUUGACAGCUCAGGGAAGAUAGCUAGCUUUAUAAAUUUGUAGAAAAUCGGUGGUUUGACCAAUUCCUCCAUUCCAACGCCAUUUUGCCCUUAAGGAAAGGAUUCUUUUACCUCCCGCCAUAAUCCCUCAACUGUGAGGACACGAUACACACACCCCACCCAGGAAAGUGACCUGAGUAACAAUUGCUGAGCUGAUAGUUUCCAAAAGCCCAUCACCGGACUCGCCCCAGGUUCUGGAUGUGCAAAGGAAGCUCUGUUGUCCUUUGAUGGUGGGUACUUGAGAGGUGCCUGGGCAUGUUUUGCCAACGCUAAUCUUGUACCCAGGACUUAUCUGGACAUGUUUGCCAAGGUUGAACUAAUGUAACCCCUAUCUACCCCUCCCCUUUUCUGACAUGUCAGUGAUGUAAAGAUGAUGUAUCAAUGGUGCUGUACGGACUGUAAUCUGGAAUGCUGUGGGAAGUUUUAAAAGCCAAUGUCACCCCAUUCUCAGGGUUCUUACUGCCGUUUGAACCUGUUGCGCAACAAUAAAGUUACUUGGCUGGAA